AUCACUUCUUGGCCUUUUGGCUAAAAUUAAGUGU
rnacentral:snRNA from 1 species